AACGAACGUUGGCGGCAUGCCUAACACAUGCAAGUCGAGCGGGGUGAUGGUGCUUGCACUAUCACUUAGCGGCGGACGGGUGAGUAAUGCUUAGGAAUCUGCCUAUUAGUGGGGGACAACAUCUCGAAAGGGAUGCAACUACCGCAUACGUCCUACGGGAGAAAGCAGGGGACCACUUGUGACCUUGCGCUAAUAGAUGAGCCUAAGUCGGAUUAGCUAGUUGGUGGGGUAAAGGCCUACCAAGGCGACGAUCUGUAGCGGGUCUGAGAGGAUGAUCCGCCACACUGGGACUGAGACACGGCCCAGACUCCUACGGGAGGCAGCAGUGGGGAAUAUUGGACAAUGGGGGGAACCCUGAUCCAGCCAUGCCGCGUGUGUGAAGAAGGCCUUAUGGUUGUAAAGCACUUUAAGCGAGGAGGAGGCUCUUUUGGUUAAUACCCAAGAUGAGUGGACGUUACUCGCAGAAUAAGCACCGGCUAACUCUGUGCCAGCAGCCGCCGUAA
rnacentral:rRNA from 1 species